GACUCCAUAGCUCAGUUGGUUAGAGCGUAGCACUGUUACUCGACGCUCACCCACAGUCAACCCAGCGCCACCCUUGCGCUCCUAACCUCCCUCUCCAGGGAAUGGUGGGGGAAACAAGAAGGUAAGCUGCAACAGAGGAGAGAUGCUGAGGUCGGCGGUUCGAGCCCGCCUGGGGUCG